GCCCCGUUCGUCUAGCGGCCUAGGAUGUCGGCCUCUCACGCCGGUAACACGGGUUCAAAUCCCGUACGGGGUAC
rnacentral:tRNA from 1 species